UCUAAAGAGCCGUUCGAGACUAGGACGUUGAUAGGUUGGAUGUGGAAGCAUAGUGAUAUGUGAAGCUGACCAAUACUAAUUGCUCGUGAGGCUUGACUAUACAACACCCAAGCAGUUG
rnacentral:rRNA from 1 species